rnacentral:misc_RNA from 1 species
GGAAGGAUCAUUAACAAAUUCAAAACACGUCCGUAAGUUUGGUUGCACUAGAUCUGCUUGGGGAAACCUGAGUGGGCCUCUUCAGCUUUACUUAUUGGUACAAACAUUUACAUUCAUGAUUGACAAUUAAUGGAGAACCAAUUGAAAAAAUUGUAAACAACUUUUAACAAUGGAUCUCUCGGCUCUUGCAACGAUGAAGAACGCAGCAAACUGCGAAAAGUUAUGUGACCUGCAAUCUUCGCGAAUCAUCCAAUUUUUGAACGCACUUUGCACCUUGUGGCUCAUGUCACUAGGUAUACUUGUUUGAGUAUCCACAACCAUCUCACCUCCCUUAAGGGCGAAGUGGACUUGAGAGCUCGCUGAAACUGUUGCAAGACAGGAAUAAGCUGUCUCUUGAAAUACAUGGCUGAAAUUACAUGGCAGGACUCCACUGGGAGCCUGGCGGACCAUUGGGAUAAUGUCCCUACAAUCGUUUGUCCAGGUUCUUUAUUCAGUGUUGACACCACCAUUGCCACCAUGAUCAACCCUUGAGGACGUCGUAAAACAACGCCCUUAAGGAGCGAUUUUUGGGUCACAUGGAUUUGUGACUUGUGUAAUGGAUCUCAAAUCAAGUAAGGAUACCCGCUGAACUUAAGCAUAUCAGUAAGCGGAGGAAAAGAAACUAACAAGGAUUCCCCUAGUAACGGCGAGUGAAGCGGGAAGAGCUCAAAUUUGAAAAUCUGGCGUCUUUCAGGCGUCCGAAUUGUAAUUGAGAGGGUCUCCUUUGGAUGACCUGGGUGGCCAAAGUUCUCUGGAAAGGGACAACAAAGAGGGUGACAUUCCCGUCUGGGUCAUCUGGGAAGUUCAGAUAAAGGGGGCUCCAAGAGUCGGAUUGUUUGGGAAUGCAGUCCAAAAUGGGUGGUACAUUUCAUCUAAAGCUAAAUAUUGGCAAGAGACCGAUAGCGAACAAGUACCGUGAGGGAAAGAUGAAAAGAACUUUGAAAAGAGAGUUAAAUAGUACGUGAAAUUGUUAAAAGGGAAACGAUUGAGACCAGUGAUGCAGCAGGUUCUUGAGCCUUCCCUCUGGGGAUGGUGUUUGAGCUUGUGGCAAGUCGGCGUUCUUUUCAGAUGCUGGAUAAGACUGCGGGAAAGGUGGCUCUGCCUUCGGGCAGCUGCUUUAUAGUCCCGUGGAGAUACAGUGUCCGGGAAGAGACAGGUAGGGCCGCAAGGCUCUCGCCGACGAAAUGGUCUUAAACGACCCGUCUUGAAACACGGACCAAGGAGUCUAACAACUAUGCGAGUAUUUGAGUGGCAAACUCGAGUGCGUAAAGAAACUGAACGCGUGGGAUCUGUCUUCUUACGGGAGGGCAGUGCACCAUGGGCCGGUCCUUGUCUCUGACUUGGAUUGCGCUAGAGCAUAUCUGUUGGGACCCGAAAGAUGGUGAACUAUGCCUGAAUAGGGCGAAGCCAGGGGAAACUCUGGUGGAGGCUCGUAGACAUUCUGACGUGCAAAUCGAUGUUCAAAUUUGGGUAUAGGGGCGAAAGACUAAUCGAACCAUCUAGUAGCUGGUUCCCUC